CCUUCAGCGUGCACGUUUCGAGCAUCGUAGAAAGCAAACCCGACUUUUGUUCUAGAGAUCUCUUCGACGACAAACCCAUGUUGCUCCAGAGCUCUUCAACGACAAAGUCGAUUCGGCGCCUCACCGUCGCACACCUCGCCCUUCCCCUCGCCGUCGCACACCUCGCCUUACCUCGCCGCCGCACUCCUUACCAGAACUCGAAUCAAUGGUUCAUGGAUUGUUAAGCAGAGUGUGGGAAAGAAAGGGUGCCUCACUGGUUAGGCACUUGAAAUCAAUUAUUUCCAUCGGAAGAACUACUUGGAGGACGUUUGGGAGCAAGCUGAAAUUGAUAUCAUUGAGCACAAGACAAGAAUAAGCCUCCAUUUCCAUCCCCUAAAAGCAGCAUAAGAAAAUUAAACAAGCAUUUUCAUACAGCUGGAGGCUAUUUAGUUGUAUGGGCUUUUGCGGGUUUGGGCUGUGACUGGGUUGGUGGGUUUUGUUUGUGGUUGGGUUUUUCAGAUGGAUGGCGCCACGGGCAGGCCUAGCCUGCAACGAUGCCAGCGAGAAGAGAUGGGAAGAGAUGGGAGGUGUCGUGUGAUGCGAGAGAGAAGAGAGAGAGGAGUCGUCCGAUGGCAGAUAAGAGAGAGGGGUCGUGCGAUGCCAGAGAGAAGAGAGAGCAGGACUCCUGGAAGGAAAAAUUGGAGGAGAGAGGGAGGGGUAGGAUGAGCAAUGCAAUAGGUAGGGCUGCCCGGAAUUUGGGUUUUGUUUUUUCUUGGUGAGGUAUGCUUAGAGAAGCGGUGAGGGCAUGAAGGGACGCCUAAACCGAGGGUUGGUUUCAGAGAUUUGGUUCCAACUGGAAGCUAUCUCUGCAAGCAUUGAUGAGGAUUUCUCCCAGCUGGCAGCUUCAAUUCCUUUCAAAUCUAGGAACUUGGAUCAUUGGACAGAGAACUUGGCCCAUUGGCUUUUGAGUUGGGAUGAAUGGGUAGGGUUGGAUCGUCUGAUGAAAAACACUGACGAGAAUAAGAAGAAGCAUGAGUACCUCAACCAGAAACAGAGAACAGACAAGAAUGCAAAGCUAAUACACACAACACAUACUAAACUAAGAAGUUAUCAUGCGUCAAGAGGGAAGAAGCGAAAGAAUGACUCUGUCUGUAAGAUGGGUUUCUGUAAUGCGAAUUUCGUGAGGUUCAUAACACUGAUUUGAUUCUCUCAUAAGAAAGGAUCUCCUCUCUGGCUUUCUAGGCCAAGUUGUCGAAGCUCUCUCUAGAGAGAAAGUGGCAGCAGUAGUGGGGAAGGAAGAAGGACCAUUCAUGUUUCUGUUAUCAUUUCUGCCAUUCGAAACUCUGGGGUUUGGCUUUGGCUCCGUUAGCUGUUGAGUUUGUCACGAAAUGAGUUCAACCAUGGAUUCGUAUACAUUGAAGUCUACAUCAGAUUUGUCUGCUCUCUGACCUGAUUGAGUGAGGGAGGAGGGAUAGAGCGCAUAGAGAAUAUGACGGAAAUUGAGGAGGAAGCCCAUGCUUGCAGAGAGUUAGUGAGAUCUGAAGCCCAUGCCUGGAUGAACUCAUUUAAUUUGAGCACACAGAGCUCAAAUCUGGUGUUCAAAAAUAAGGCGGAGGCCACGAAGUUCUCAAAUCCAAGAUGAAAAGUGUUUGGAGUUGGAGGCUUUUGCUCUGUUGGGUUUUUUUCCAAUAACAAGAGCCGAAAGUGGUAUCUGGUUUGCAAGAAAUUGAGGAUAGGAUAAGAGAAGUGGAAGUGAGCCUGGUGCGAGAGGGUCUUAUCUCAAAGACUCAGAGAAGGCUGAGAUGUAUAAGAAGCACAAGGAAAUCCCUGAAGUUUAUACUGUUGAGAGGCUGGCUAAGGAUUAUAGGAUUAUAAGGCAGAGAGUGCAUGCUAUGCUUUGGCUUAAAGAGCUUGAGGGGGAAGAGGAGAAAAAGCUUGGUCGUCCUUUAGAUGAUUCUGUUGAGCUCCUGCUUGACACCUGCCCAGAAUUUUUUAAUUCUCAUGACCGCGAAUUCCACGUGGUAUCCCUUACCUACAAACCUGAUUUCAAGGUUAUGCCAGAGGGUUGGGACGAUACCACCGGAGAUUUGGAUGAAGUUCAUUGUGAAAUCUCAAAGAAAGAAAAUGAAAUGCUCUAUCAAGAGUUUGUCCAGAGAAUGAACUUCAACAAAAUGAAAGUAAGUUCCAUAAUCCUGACUUUUCCAUGAGAAAAGAAAGCAAUCCAACAUUAAUAAUUAAGAAAAAAGCAUAGUUCUAUACUACAAAGUGUUACUGUUACGUCUCUCAUUAUUAUUAGCUUUUCUUUCUCUUUGUUCAUAUUUUUGUCUUCGAGGAUGAAUCAUUGGAAGCAUAUAUGUUUUUCCAUCAUGCUUUUCUUUUUCCCACUAAAGUGGCAUCAAUAGUUAUUGUAUUUCUCCUCUGCAUACCUCUUUAUACGAACAACUGAUGGACUUUGCGGUGUACAAGCAAACUGGUUAUGAGAGUAUUAAGUGGGUUUCUGUAAGACAAGGUGAUAGAUUAGCAAGUCUUAACUCAGUUUCUUCCUACUAAUUGUGCAAUGUCUUUACAUGUUAGCUUAGUUGAAUGUAUAUAAAAGUCAAGUUGUUUAUCUUAUCGAUCUCAUUCACUUA